AUUGAACGCUGGCGGCAGGCCUAACACAUGCAAGUCGAGCGGUAACACAGGGAGCUUGCUCCUGGGUGACGAGCGGCGGACGGGUGAGUAAUGUCUGGGAAACUGCCUGAUGGAGGGGGAUAACUACUGGAAACGGUAGCUAAUACCGCAUAACGUCGCAAGACCAAAGAGGGGGACCUUCGGGCCUCUUGCCAUCAGAGGUGCCCAGAUGGGAUUAGCUAGUAGGUGGAGUAACGGCUCACCUAGGCGACGAUCUCUAGCUGGUCUGAGAGGAUGACCAGCCACACUGGAACUGAGACACGGUCCAGACUCCUACGGGAGGCAGCAGUGGGGAAUAUUGCACAAUGGGCGCAAGCCUGAUGCAGCCAUGCCGCGUGUAUGAAGAAGGCCUUCGGGUUGUAAAGUACUUUCAGCGGGGAGGAAGGCGAUAAGGUUAAUAACCUUGUCGAUUGACGUUACCCGCAGAAGAAGCACCGGCUAACUCCGUGCCAGCAGCCGCCGUAA
rnacentral:rRNA from 1 species